CAAGUCGAACGAGAAAGUGGAGCAAUCCAUGAGUAAAGUGGCGACCGGGUGAGUAACACGUGACUAACCUACCCUCGAGUGGGGAAUAACCCCGGGAAACCGGGGCUAAUACCGCAUAACACCGCAAGGUCAAAGGAGCAAUUCGCUUGAGGAGGGGGUCGCGGCUGAUUAGCUAGUUGGUGAGGUAAUGGCUCACCAAGGCAAAGAUCAGUAUCCGGCCUGAGAGGGCGCACGGACACACUGGAACUGAAACACGGUCCAGACUCCUACGGGAGGCAGCAGUGGGGAAUUUUGCGCAAUGGGGGAAACCCUGACGCAGCAACGCCGCGUGGAGGAUGAAGUCCCUUGGGAUGUAAACUCCUUUCGAUCGGGACGAUUAUGACGGUACCGGAAGAAGAAGCACCGGCUAACUCUGUGCCAGCAGCCGCGGUAAUACAGAGGGUGCAAGCGUUGUUCGGAAUUAUUGGGCGUAAAGGGCGCGUAGGCGGUGCGGUAAGUCUGUAGUGAAAUCUCUGGGCUCAACUCAGAGUCUGCUAUAGAAACUGCCGUGCUUGAGUGUGGGAGAGGUGAGUGGAAUUCCCGGUGUAGCGGUGAAAUGCGUAGAUAUCGGGAGGAACACCUGUGGCGAAAGCGGCUCACUGGACCACAACUGGCGCUGAGGCGCGAAAGCUAGGGGAGCAAACAGGAUUAGAUACCCUGGUAGUCCUAGCCCUAAACGAUGAUCGCUUGGUGUAUUGGGUACCCAAUCCCAAUGUGCCGGAGCUAACGCGUUAAGCGAUCCGCCUGGGGAGUACGGUCGCAAGACUGAAACUCAAAGGAAUUGACGGGGGCCCGCACAAGCGGUG
rnacentral:rRNA from 1 species